GUGAAGGAAGCUGAGAAUGUUGUCAAGAGGCUGCAGGAGGGAGAUGUUUUGUUCUUGAUGGAAAAAGCUGUUGGAGUGCAUUUGGACAAGACAGGACCAUUCUCGCCAAUGGUUCUGAAGGCCAUCGUCAGGAAAAAGAACUCGAUAGCGGUUUGCAAGCAGGGCAGCUACUUCAUGAUUAUCAAGGACAUUGGAACUGCAGAGAUAUCGCCCUUGAGCAUUGUCAUUUUCGUACACCAAAAUGUGGCAGCAGGCAACAUCAUCAAUGUGAACAUAGCCCAUUCUGCCAUAAGCUGAGAACCUAUCUUUUUCUCCUGCAAGUUAGUUUCAUCAGUACUUAUAGUGUGAUGUACCUAUUGUUGAAAAGAAGGCAUUUAGUGCCUUGAAAUUUUGUUUUCCAUAGAAAGGAAGGAUGAUCCAUUGCGGCAUUAGAAAUACCUCGAAGUAGGCCAAGGACGUCACUAACAGUUAGACACAAAUCAUGGGGCAGACUUGGUCCGACGAUGAAUGAUGGAAGAAGAGUUACAAGGUCUAUUUUGUUCUCCUUUGCAAAUUCCCAAGCUGCCUUCUCUGCUAGAACUUUUGCUAGGGCAUACCACAUCUUGGAUAACAAAAAGCAAAAAGAAUAUAUGAGCAUUAUUCAGAAUUAAGCACAUUGCCAUGGAUCUUUUUUGCUUAGUGUUUCUGCUCUUAUCAUAGCAAGAAGGGUUCAUGUAGCCUUCAAUAAUUGUAUAACCAAAAAGCCAUCUAAAUAAGUAUGUGUAUGUAUAAAUGUGCCAAACAUGCAGUAGCAGAUUAGUUAUGGUCUUUCACCUGGAACGUUUGGCAAAGUUCCACAGAGCUCCAUGAUGUCUCAUCCAGUGGUAAUCUGGGGUUGACAUUCUCUCUUACUCUUAUUGCAGAUGAAGACGACGUCAGAACAACUCUCCUUAGUGCUGGAUUCUUCUUGCAUGAUCGCAACACAUUUAGAGUGCCAGUGACUGCAGGAUCCAGUAUCUCAGCCUGCUAAAUGUCAACACCAGGAGCCAUGGCCACAAACAACAAAAUGAGACAAAUUUCCACAAAUGCAACUAAGCUGUAUGUUCUCCUGACCAUUUUUCUCUCUCUUUUGCAAGCGGUUUUAAGAGAGAACUAUUUUCCAUGUGUCCAACUCCAAAUAAGAGGGAAGAAUAGCAGUUUUCAGCUACUGUUCAAAUGGACAUGCCAUGAUGAGAGGAACUGCAUACCUUGGGAUACAUGGCUACGACCACGGGAGAUGCGGUAUGGAAGACACCUUCACAUCCCAUUACGGCAUCAUCAAAGCUGCCUUCAUCCAUGAGAUUGGCCUUCACAAGCUGAAGCCUGUCCUUUGCACCUUCCAACUCCCACAGAUGGGCCAAUUUCUUAUGGCCCCCUGCAAAUCUGUUAUUGGACAUGAGUUGAUGAUGAAGAAGAAGAAAUGGAGUGAUGGAACCUGGGUCUCGGACUGUUCCUAUUACAUGAUACCCAGACUGUAGAAGUCGCUUAACAAGCCAAGAAGCAACAUAACCAGAAGCGCCUGUCACACACACCCUGCCUUUGCUACCUGAAACCUCGUCCAUUCUGUCAGAAAUGUGGAGACUUCCAUGUCUAUUUAUACAUGUACUCCAGAGCUUGUUAUGUAAGCCAAGAUGGGUAGUUCAUCACCUUUUGAUGUUCUCUGACGUUACUUGUAACUUAGAGUCUGGUGGAGAGUCGAUGGAAAAACUAGCACUCAUACGUAUCAUGUCAUGCACACUCUUGGUGGACAUAAUCUUUUGGAGGAAAAUACACAAAACUCAUGAUAGGCACAAGAAAGACUUUGGCGUCCCAGAGAAGUCGCCAUCUUGGCUUUCUAAUGGAGAUCAAAAUGAACGGAUGUGGUGAGGGGGAGCUUCAAUAAUGUUGAUAUAG